rnacentral:tRNA from 1 species
CCCACUGUAGCUCAGUUGCUAGAGCAUGGCACUUGCAAUGCUAGGAUAGUGGGUUCAAACCCAAAUCACUUGAG